rnacentral:tRNA from 1 species
GGGGCCGUAGGGUAGCCUGGUCAUCCUCCGGCGUUCGGGACGCCGUGACCCGAGUUCAAAUCUCGGCGGCCCCA